AUAGCGUAUAUUAAAGUUGUUGCGGUUAAAAAGCUCGUAGUUGAAUCUGUGUCCCACGCUGCCGGUUCGCCGCUCGCGGUGUUUAACUGGCAUGAUUGUGGGACGUCCUACCGGUGGGCUUAGCCUCUCGGGGCGGCCCAACUAAUAUCCCAUCGCGGUGCUCUUCACUGAGUGUCGAGGUGGGCCGGUACGUUUACUUUGAACAAAUUAGAGUGCUUAAAGCAGGCUAUUUUCGCCUGAAUACUGUGUGCAUGGAAUAAUGGAAUAGGACCUCGGUUCUAUUUUGUUGGUUUUCGGAACCCCGAGGUAAUGAUUAAUAGGAACAGAUGGGGGUAUUCGUAUUGCGACGUUAGAGGUGAAAUUCUUGGAUCGUCGCAAGACGGACAGAAGCGAAAGCAUUUGCCAAAAAUGUUUUCCUUAAUCAAGAACGAAAGUUAGAGGUUCGAAGGCGAUCAGAUACCGCCCUAGUUCUAACCAUAAACGAUGCCAGCUAGCGAUCCGCCGAAGUUCCUCCGAUGACUCGGCGGGCAGCUUCCGGGAAACCAAAGCUUUUGGGUUCCGGGGGAAGUAUGGUUGCAAAGCUGAAACUUAAAGGAAUUGACGGAAGGGCACCACCAGGAGUGGAGCCUGCGGCUUAAUUUGACUCAACACGGGAAACCUCACCAGGCCCGGACACCGGAAGGAUUGACAGAUUGAGAGCUCUUUCUUGAUUCGGUGGGUGGUGGUGCAUGGCCGUUCUUAGUUGGUGGAGCGAUUUGUCUGGUUAAU
rnacentral:rRNA from 1 species